rnacentral:tRNA from 1 species
GGGGAGGUGCCAGAGUGGUUGAUUGGGGCCGCCUGCUAAGCGGUUGUUCGGGUAAUGCCGAACCGCAGGUUCGAAUCCUGUCCUCCCCG